UGUAAAUAGCUUGUUUAAAGUUUGGGGAAUAUAGAAGGGAGUUAAGAAAAAUAAUUUUUAUAAUUUUAGUAAUUUUUAAUGAAAAUUAAGUAAAGACUAAAGAGAAAAGUACUGUGAAGGAAAGUUGUUGAGAUUUUAUAUAGAAAAAGUAAAAUUUUGUGCCUCGUGUAUCAGAAAAAAUUUAUAUAAUUUAGUUAAUGGUAAGUAUCUCGAAAUAAAAUAUAGUAAUUUUUAUAAAAUUUUCUUUUUAGAAAAAAAGAAUUUAAUAUAAAAUUUAAAGUGAAAUGCUAGCUGAGUUUUAUGAUAUCUAGUUUUUUAAAAAAUAAAUUUAAUUUAAUUUUUACGAAGAAAGAAUUGUAAAAUUAAAUGGUAGGGGGGAUUAGCUCUUUACGGAAAAGUCAAUGAAAUAGGUAGAUAUAAAGAAAUUAUAUAAAUUAGGCUUAGAAGUAGCUAUAUUGAAAAAGUGUUUUAACUAAAUUAUAAUUACUUGAAUAUUUAAGAUAACUUUUGUUAGGUAUUAAAAAAACGGUUUAAACAAAAUAAAACGAAAUAUAAUGAUUUUAUUAGUAAAAUUUAUUAAGUAAAUAAAAAU
rnacentral:rRNA from 1 species